GUACUCAUUUUGGCAGCACAUAUACUAGAAUUAGAACAGUAUAGAGAAGAUUAGCAUGGCCCCUGUGCAAGGAUGACAGGCAAAUCUGUGAAGUGUUCCAUAUUUUA
rnacentral:snRNA from 1 species